UGAUAUGAUGGUCGACGGAAAAUGUU
rnacentral:piRNA from 1 species